rnacentral:rRNA from 1 species
UAGGGAAUUGUUCGCAAUGGGCGCAAGCCUGACGACGCAACGCCGCGUGGAGGAUGAAGACUUUCGGGUCGUAAACUCCUUUCGAUCGAGACGAAUGGCCUUCGAGCUAAUACCUCGGAGGAAUGACGGUACCGAGAGAAGAAGCCCCGGCUAACUCCGUGCCAGCAGCCGCGGUAAUACGGGGGGGGCAAGCGUUGUUCGGAAUUACUGGGCGUAAAGGGCUUGUAGGUGGCCAACUAAGUCAGACGUGAAAUCCCUCGGCUUAACCGGGGAACUGCGUCUGAUACUGGAUGGCUUGAGUUUGGGAGAGGGAUGCGGAAUUCCAGGUGUAGCGGUGAAAUGCGUAGAUAUCUGGAGGAACACCGGUGGCGAAGGCGGCAUCCUGGACCAACACUGACACUGAAAAGCGAAAGCCAGGGGAGCUAACGG